rnacentral:rRNA from 1 species
GACCUCAAAUCAGGUAGGACUACCCGCUGAACUUAAGCAUAUCAAUAAGCGGAGGAAAAGAAACUAACAAGGAUUCCCCUAGUAACUGCGAGUGAAGCGGGAAAAGCUCAAAUUUAAAAUCUGGCGGUUUUGCCGUCCGAGUUGUAAUCUGGAGAAGCGUUUUCCGCGUUGGACCGUGUACAAGUCUCUUGGAACAGAGCGUCAUAGAGGGUGAGAAUCCCGUCUUUGACACGGACUACCAAUGCUUUGUGAUACGCUCUCAAAGAGUCGAGUUGUUUGGGAAUGCAGCUCAAAAUGGGUGGUAAAUUCCAUCUAAAGCUAAAUAUUGGCGAGAGACCGAUAGCGAACAAGUACCGUGAGGGAAAGAUGAAAAGCACUUUGGAAAGAGAGUUAAACAGUACGUGAAAUUGUUGAAAGGGAAACGCUUGAAGUCAG